rnacentral:rRNA from 1 species
AACGAACGCUGGCGGCAUGCCUAACACAUGCAAGUCGAACGAAGCCUUCGGGCUUAGUGGCGCACGGGUGCGUAACGCGUGGGAAUCUGCCCUUGGGUUCGGAAUAACAGUUAGAAAUGACUGCUAAUACCGAAUGAUGUCUUCGGACCAAAGAUUUAUCGCCCAAGGAUGAGCCCGCGUCGGAUUAGCUAGUUGGUGAGGUAAAGGCUCACUAAGGCGACGAUCCGUAGCUGGUCUGAGAGGAUGAUCAGCCACACUGGGACUGAGACACGG